rnacentral:rRNA from 1 species
UACGUAGGGUGCGAGCGUUAAUCGGAAUUACUGGGCGUAAAGCGUGCGCAGGCUGUUUUGUAAGUCAGAUGUGAAAUCCCUGGGCUCAACCUAGGAACUGCGUUUUGAAACUACAAGGCUAGAGUGUAGCAGAGGGGGGUAGAAUUCCACGUGUAGCAGUGAAAUGCGUAGAGAUGUGGAGGAAUACCAAUGGCGAAGGCAGCCCCCUGGGUUAACACUGACGCUCAUGCACGAAAGCGUGGGGAGCAAACAGG